rnacentral:rRNA from 1 species
UGAUGAACGCUAGCUACAGGCUUAACACAUGCAAGUCGAGGGGCAGCGGGAUUGAAGCUUGCUUCAAUCGCCGGCGACCGGCGCACGGGUGAGUAACGCGUAUCCAACCUUCCGUACACUCAGGGAUAGCCUUUCGAAAGAAAGAUUAAUACCUGAUAGUAUCUUAAGCACACAUGUAAUUAAGAUUAAAGAUUUAUCGGUGUACGAUGGGGAUGCGUUCCAUUAGGUAGUAGGCGGGGUAACGGCCCACCUAGCCAACGAUGGAUAGGGGUUCUGAGAGGAAGGUCCCCCACAUUGGAACUGAGACACGGUCCAAACUCCUACGGGAGGCAGCAGUGAGGAAUAUUGGUCAAUGGACGAGAGUCUGAACCAGCCAAGUAGCGUGAAGGAUGAAGGUCCUACGGAUUGUAAACUUCUUUUAUAAGGGAAUAAACCCUCCCACGUGUGGGAGCUUGUAUGUACCUUAUGAAUAAGCAUCGGCUAACUCCGCGCCAGCAGCCGCGGUAAUACGGAGGAUGCGAGCGUUAUCCGGAUUUAUUGGGUUUAAAGGGAGCGCAGACGGGUCGUUAAGUCAGCUGUGAAAGUUUGGGGCUCAACCUUAAAAUUGCAGUUGAUACUGGCGUCCUUGAGUGCGGUUGAGGUGUGCGGAAUUCGUGGUGUAGCGGUGAAAUGCUUAGAUAUCACGAAGAACUCCGAUUGCGAAGGCAGCACACUAAUCCGUAACUGACGUUCAUGCUCGAAAGUGUGGGUAUCAAACAGGAUUAGAUACCCUGGUAGUCCACACGGUAAACGAUGGAUACUCGCUGUUGGCGAUAUACUGUCAGCGGCUUAGCGAAAGCGUUAAGUAUCCCACCUGGGGAGUACGCCGGCAACGGUGCAACUCAAAGGAAUUGACGG